GUCCUCGUAGCUCAGUCGGAUAGAGCAGUGGUUUCCUAAACCGAAGGCCGGAGGUUCGAAUCCUCCCGGGGACG
rnacentral:tRNA from 2 species